rnacentral:rRNA from 1 species
AUUCCAGCUCCAAUAGCGUAUAUUAAAGUUGUUGUGGUUAAAAAGCUCGUAGUUGGAUCUCGGCGGUCUGAGGGCGGUUCGCUUCAGAGCGCUACUACCCUAUAGACCGUAGUUUUGCCAGAGGUCUCAGGGUGCUCUUAACCGAGUGUCUUGCGAUGCUGGCAGGUUUACUUUGAAAAAAUUAGAGUGUUCAAAGCAGGCGUUUGCUUGAAUAUAUUAGCAUGGAAUAAUGGAAUAGGACGCUGGUUCUAUUUUGUUGGUUUUGAGAACCAGAGUAAUGAUUAAUAGGGACAGUUGGGGGCAUUCAUAUUUCAUUGUCAGAGGUGAAAUUCUUGGAUUUAUGAAAGAUGAACUUCUGCGAAAGCAUUUGCCAAGGAUGUUUUCAUUA